rnacentral:rRNA from 1 species
UACGGAGGGGGCUAGCGUUGUUCGGAAUUACUGGGCGUAAAGCGCACGUAGGCGGAUUAUUAAGUCGGGGGUGAAAUCCCGGGGCUCAACCCCGGAACUGCCUUCGAUACUGGUAGUCUAGAGUUCUGGAGAGGUGAGUGGAAUUCCGAGUGUAGAGGUGAAAUUCGUAGAUAUUCGGAGGAACACCAGUGGCGAAGGCGGCUCACUGGCCAGACACUGACGCUGAGGUGCGAAAGCGUGGGGAGCAAACAGG